rnacentral:sRNA from 1 species
AACUGGUCGCGAGAUCAGUCGAUAACCUGGAAGACCAGUGGUUCGGACUCUCAGAUUAUCUCCUCAUCAGGCUAAUCACGGUUAUUUGACCCGGCUCUUGCCGGGUCUUUUUUU